UAUUUUGUGACAAAUAUUUAGGUUUCUUAUGACAAAGUAAUUUUGUCACAACAUAAAAAUAAUAUAAAUUACUUAUUACUAAAAAAUCUCCACCAAAAUUUCUAGACAUGCCCGAUCCCUGUCUUUUCUUCUCUCAUAAAUUCCCUUUUUUUUCCUUCUCCUUUUUUAUUUGUUCACUUUUUAAUUGAAGACCAUCGUUGCACCACCACCACCAUCAUUGCACCGCCAUCUUUGCACCGCCAUCACCAUUGAUCUGGCUCUUCGAUCUGGCUUUCGCGUCCACCACCAUCGUUGCACCGCCAGUGUUCGUUUGCCUUCGCCACCGCCAGUGUUCGUUUCCCUUCGCCUCCGCCAAUCUCAAUCGAUUCAGGCUGAUGCCGAAAAUUGCCGAGGUUGGAGUCGAUCGGAGCUCGUGAAUGGGAAUUAGGAUUCUCAGCCAUUAGCACGUUUUGGAAAGGGGGAAACCGCUUGUACGGAGUCAAAAUAUCCGCAAAUUGUGUGGGAAAAUUGUACAAAGGAGCCAGCACAAGUAUGCAUCAAAUUUUGUAGAGAAAUGUUUAGAGUUUGGCGAUGCUGCUGAACGGGAGUUCUUGAUUGAUGAGAUCCUUCUGCAGUUUGAAGACAAUGACAAUUUAC